rnacentral:rRNA from 1 species
GAUGAACGCUGGCGGCGUGCUUAACACAUGCAAGUCGAGCGAUGAAGUUUCCUUCGGGAAACGGAUUAGCGGCGGACGGGUGAGUAACACGUGGGUAACCUGCCUCAUAGAGUGGAAUAGCCUUCCGAAAGGAAGAUUAAUACCGCAUAACGUUGAAAGAUGGCAUCAUCAUUCAACCAAAGGAGCAAACCGCUAUGAGAUGGACCCGCGGCGCAUUAGCUAGUUGGUGGGGUAACGGCCUACCAAGGCGACGAUGCGUAGCCGACCUGAGAGGGUGAUCGGCCACAUGGGGACUGAGACACGGCCCAGACUCCUACGGGAGGCAGCAGUGGGGAAUAUUGCACAAUGGGGGAAACCCUGAUGCAGCAACGCCGCGUGAGUGAUGAAGGUUUUCGGAUCGUAAAGCUCUGUCUUUGGGGAAGAUAAUGACGGUACUCAAGGAGGAAGCCACGGCUAACUACGUGCCAGCAGCCGCCGUAA